rnacentral:miRNA from 1 species
AACUAAAAGUCUAACAUUCU